GCUUGUCUUCCAAACACUCCUCAGACCAGCGUGUCUACCAAACCCUCCUCAGACCAGCGUGUCUACCAAACCCUCCUGAGACCAACGUGUCUACCAAACCUCCUCAGACCAGCGUGUCUACCAAACCCUCCUCAGACCAGCGUGUCUACCAAACCUCUUCAGACCACCGUGUCUACCAAACCCUCCUCAGACCAGUGUGUCUACCAAACCUCUUCAGACCAGCGUGUCUACCAAACCCUCUUCAGACCACGUGUCUACCAAACCUCUUCAGACCAGCGUGUCUACCAAACCCUCCUCAGACCAGCGUGUCUACCAAACCUCUUCAGACCAGCGUGUCUACCAAACCCUCCUCAGACCAGUGUGUCUACCAAACCCUCCUCAGACCAGCGUGUCUACCAAACCUCUUCAGACCAGCGUGUCUACCAAACCCUCCUCAGACCAGCGUGUCUACCAAACCCUCCUCAGACCAGUGUGUCUACCAAACCCGCCUCAGAUCAGCGUGUCUUCCGAACACUCCUCAGACCAGCGUGUCUUUCAAACCUUCCUCAGACCAGUGUGUCUACCAAACCCGCCUCAGACCAGCGUGUCUUCCAAACACUCCUCAGACCAGCGUGUCUUUCAAACCCUCCUCAGACCAGUGUGUCUACCAAACCCUCCUCAGACCAGCGUGUCUACCAAACCCUCCUCAGACCAGCGUGUCUACCAAACCCGCCUCAGACCAGCGUGUCUUCCGAACACUCCUCAGACCAGCGUGUCUACCAAACCCGCCUCAGACCAGCGUGUCUACCAAACCCGCCUCAGACCAGCUUGUCUACCAAACCCUCCUCAGACCAGCGUGUCUACCAAACCCGCCUCAGACCAGCGUG
rnacentral:lncRNA from 1 species